UUUCUUCGGAAUGAAGAUUUUGUGACUGAGUGGCGGACGGGUGAGUAACGCGUGGGUAACCUGCCUUGUACAGGGGGAUAACAGUUGGAAACGACUGCUAAUACCGCAUAAGCGCACGGUCUCGCAUGGGACAGUGUGAAAAACUCCGGUGGUGUGAGAUGGACCCGCGUCUGAUUAGCUAGUUGGUGGGGUAACAGCCUACCAAGGCGACGAUCAGUAGCCGGUCUGAGAGGGUGAUCGGCCACACUGGGACUGAGACACGGCCCAGACUCC
rnacentral:rRNA from 1 species